rnacentral:sRNA from 1 species
CAUGCGAAGUCUGAUUCUCAGAGAAGUGGCCUGCCCAGCUAGGGAACUCUCUAAUAUUCUCUGCUUAUGAUCCAUUCAGGUUCUGGAACUCUGAACCUUGGCUGUCAUGUUCCAACAGCAAAUGCGUUUACACACCAAACAACUUCCACUGCUCUUCUACUGCUUAUUGAAUGGGAUCCCUAGAGUCUGAUGUCUGGGACAGAAAACUCAUUUUUCAAGGGUAAUGCAGGAACAAAGAAUGGAGCAGAGACUGAAGGAAAGACCAUCCAAAGACUGCCUCACCUAGGCAUCCAUCCUAUCUGAAGACAUCAAACCCAUACACUCUUCCUGAUGCCAAGAAAUGCUAGC